GAUAGAAUUCUCUAACACUUCCCUAUUCUAACACAGAUAUCAAGCUAGGGCCGGGAUGUUUAUGGUGGUUACUAUUAUGACACAGUUCAUCCCGACCCUUUCGGCAGUGCCAUGUUCUAUCCGGUUGGUUCUGAGUCCAAUGGGUGCUUUCAAGUUAGAGUCAACUGACCUGCAGAUCGCAUUUCCGCGUGCCAACAACUGGACGAACAUGUGCUACUGUUAGAUUGUGGUUUAUGGAUGGCUGUGGAGUAAGAAAAUCACCUUGAAUAGGGUUUGAGUUGUCAGGGUCCCUGUAGGAUAUUUGCAGUUGUCAGUCGACUAUUACAUUUCUGAUCAGUGCCCUUUGUGGUGGUGCCACAGCUUUUUCAUGAUGGUUGCGGGCUCAGUACAGCACUAAUUUGAUGAGCAGGUGGUACUGUUACACUGUGGCCUGGUCUGACUUGUUCUAUGAGACUGGCGAUGCAAAUAUUAGAUUGUAGUGCCUUCAGCAAACUUAGGGAUGGGGGUGUGAGAAUUAUCUGUCUUAAGAAUUAGAAUUAAGAAAAAUACGUUUAUAUCUGAGGCUGGAGUGAUAUUAAGUAUAGUCUCUAGCCUUUGCUAGUUGGCGGGGUGAAGCCUCUAGCCUUUGCUAGUUGGCGGGGAAGGGAAAAUAUAGCCUCUAGCCUUUGCUAGUUGGCGGGGAAGGGAAAAUAUAGCCUCUAGCCUUUGCUAGUUGGCGGGGGAUGGGAAAACGAAGCCUCUAGCCUCAUCUACAGUCUUAAAUUGCAUGCAUUUUAGUUUUAGUAUUUAGAAAAUACAAAUAUAAGUUGAGAAUUAAGAUUGAAGUAUGUGAAAUAUAGCCUCUAGCCUUUGCUAGUUGGCGGGGUGAAGCCUCUAGCCUUUGCUAGUUGGCGGGGUGAAGCCUCUAGCCUUUGCUAGUUGGCGGGGGAUGGGAAAACGAAGCCUCUAGCCUCAUCUACAGUCUUAAAUUGCAUGCAUUUUAGUUUUAGUAUUUAGAAAAUACAAAUAUAAGUUGAGAAUUAAGAUUGAAGUAUGUGAAAUAUAGCCUCUAGCCUUUGCUAGUUGGCGGGGUUAAGCCUCUAGCCUUUGCUAGUUGGCGGGGUGAAGCCUCUAGCCUUUGCUAGUUGGCGGGGUUAAGCCUCUAGCCUUUGCUAGUUGGCGGGGUGAAGCCUCUAGCCUUUGCUAGUUGGCGGGGUGAAGCCUCUAGCCUUUGCUAGUUGGCGGGGAGAAUGGAAAUCACCGCUAUCUUGUGAUAGCCUUGGGUUAAUCUUAGUUUUAACAUAAUUUUAAGUCUUAACUUGCAUGCAAUUUACUUAAUAGGUGACACUUCCCCAUCGGUAGGGGAAAUGCACAAGGUAUUUUGCAUCAAAGAGGGUGUAUCACCCUUGGAGAUGCUGGGAAGUGGAGAUAUUCUUGAGAAAUUCAAGAGUUUUUUACUUCUCUACUCUACUAAGUAUCUUUAAGAGUGAGAGACUCUCAUAGAUACUGUAGAGUACAACAUUCACGCCUGGCGGUCCUUAGUUUAGUGAUAAGUUCAAUCUAUGAUUAGCAACUAUUUAUCAUCAUUUUUUGAUACUUUAAAAUUAGAGAUAUUCUUGAGAAAUUCAAGGGUUCUCUAAUGAGUAUCAUUGAGAGUAAGAAACUCUUAUUGAUACUGUCUUGUACAAACAUACACUCCUGUUGAUUCAGGUAUUCUCUUAGUUCAGUCCAAGUUAAGAUUUGUAACUGUUUAUCUACAUUAUAUAAAAUUGCUUUGUUUUGUAAGUGCUUUACAAGUUUGUUGCAGCUUAGCCUACCAAAUGAAUCCAAGUGCACCAUUGUAGAUAUUUUUUAAAAGCAGGAUUGAUGAACAACUAAACAAACAAUAUUGUGGAGAUACAUGUGAAUUAUAAUGGAGAUGCCACCAGAUAUUCAAUGCAUUGGAGAGCAGCUCUACUACCAAAGUGGAGAUGUGGAUCACUGGAUGUGGUAUGAGAUAUCUGGUAACCAUAUUUUCAGUAGUCAAGACAGGAUAGAAUUCUCUAACACUUCCCUAUUCUAACACAGAUAUCAAGCUAGGGCCGGGAUGUUUAUGGUGGUUACUAUUAUGACACAGUUCAUCCCGACCCUUUCGGCAGUGCCAUGUUCUAUCCGGUUGGUUCUGAGUCCAAUGGGUGCUUUCAAGUUAGAGUCAACUGACCUGCAGAUCGCAUUUCCGCGUGCCAACAACUGGACGAACAUGUGCUACUGUUAGAUUGUGGUUUAUGGAUGGCUGUGGAGUAAGAAAAUCACCUUGAAUAGGGUUUGAGUUGUCAGGGUCCCUGUAGGAUAUUUGCAGUUGUCAGUCGACUAUUACAUUUCUGAUCAGUGCCCUUUGUGGUGGUGCCACAGCUUUUUCAUGAUGGUUGCGGGCUCAGUACAGCACUAAUUUGAUGAGCAGGUGGUACUGUUACACUGUGGCCUGGUCUGACUUGUUCUAUGAGACUGGCGAUGCAAAUAUUAGAUUGUAGUGCCUUCAGCAAACUUAGGGAUGGGGGUGUGAGAAUUAUCUGUCUUAAGAAUUAGAAUUAAGAAAAAUACGUUUAUAUCUGAGGCUGGAGUGAUAUUAAGUAUAGUCUCUAGCCUUUGCUAGUUGGCGGGGUGAAGCCUCUAGCCUUUGCUAGUUGGCGGGGAAGGGAAAAUAUAGCCUCUAGCCUUUGCUAGUUGGCGGGGUUAAGCCUCUAGCCUUUGCUAGUUGGCGGGGAGAAUGGAAAUCACCGCUAUCUUGUGAUAGCCUUGGGUUAAUCUUAGUUUUAACAUAAUUUUAAGUCUUAACUUGCAUGCAAUUUACUUAAUAGGUGACACUUCCCCAUCGGUAGGGGAAAUGCACAAGGUAUUUUGCAUCAAAGAGGGUGUAUCACCCUUGGAGAUGCUGGGAAGUGGAGAUAUUCUUGAGAAAUUCAAGAGUUUUUUACUUCUCUACUCUACUAAGUAUCUUUAAGAGUGAGAGACUCUCAUAGAUACUGUAGAGUACAACAUUCACGCCUGGCGGUCCUUAGUUUAGUGAUAAGUUCAAUCUAUGAUUAGCAACUAUUUAUCAUCAUUUUUUGAUACUUUAAAAUUAGAGAUAUUCUUGAGAAAUUCAAGGGUUCUCUAAUGAGUAUCAUUGAGAGUAAGAAACUCUUAUUGAUACUGUCUUGUACAAACAUACACUCCUGUUGAUUCAGGUAUUCUCUUAGUUCAGUCCAAGUUAAGAUUUGUAACUGUUUAUCUACAUUAUAUAAAAUUGCUUUGUUUUGUAAGUGCUUUACAAGUUUGUUGCAGCUUAGCCUACCAAAUGAAUCCAAGUGCACCAUUGUAGAUAUUUUUUAAAAGCAGGAUUGAUGAACAACUAAACAAACAAUAUUGUGGAGAUACAUGUGAAUUAUAAUGGAGAUGCCACCAGAUAUUCAAUGCAUUGGAGAGCAGCUCUACUACCAAAGUGGAGAUGUGGAUCACUGGAUGUGGAUUGAUGAACAACUAAACAAACAAUAUUGUGGAGAUACAUGUGAAUUAUAAUGGAGAUGCCACCAGCUAUUCAAUGCAUUGGAGAGCAGCUCUACUACCAAAGUGGAGAUGUGGAUCACUGGAUGUGGAUUGAUGAACAACUAAACAAACAAUAUUGUGGAGAUACAUGUGAAUUAUAAUGGAGAUGCCACCAGAUAUUCAAUGCAUUGGAGAGCAGCUCUACUACCAAAGUGGAGAUGUGGAUCACUGGAUGUGGUAUGAGAUAUCUGGUAACCAUAUUAUCAGUAGUCUAGACAGGUUAGAAUUCUCUAACACUUCCCUAUUCUAACACAGAUAUCAAGCUAGGGCCGGGAUGUUUAUGGUGGUUCCUAUUAUGACACAGUUCAUCCCGACCCCUUCGGCAGUGCCUUGUUCUAUCCGGUUGGUUCUGAGUCCAAUGGGUGCUUUCAAGUUAGAGUCAACUGACCUGCAGAUCGCAUUUCCGCGUGCCAACAACUGGACGAACAUGUGCUACUGUUAGAUUGUGGUUUAUGGAUGGCUGUGGAGUAAGAAAAUCACCUUGAAUAGGGUUUGAGUUGUCAGGGUCCCUGUAGGAUAUUUGCAGUUGUCAGUCGACUAUUACAUUUCUGAUCAGUGCCCUUUGUGGUGGUGCCACAGCUUUUUCAUGAUGGUUGCGGGCUCAGUACAGCACUAAUUUGAUGAGCAGGUGGUACUGUUACACUGUGGCCUGGUCUGACUUGUUCUAUGAGACUGGCGAUGCAAAUAUUAGAUUGUAGUGCCUUCAGCAAACUUAGGGAUGGGGGUGUGAGAAUUAUCUGUCUUAAGAAUUAGAAUUAAGAAAAAUACGUUUAUAUCUGAGGCUGGAGUGAUAUUAAGUAUAGUCUCUAGCCUUUGCUAGUUGGCGGGGUGAAGCCUCUAGCCUUUGCUAGUUGGCGGGGAAGG